UUUUUUAUUUCCCAAAUUUUCGUUAAAACUCUUUUAACCAGUCUUGGUUUUAAUAAAGGUCCAUAAGUAGAGGAGCUGAAUAAAAACCAGUAAGGCAAUACCCAAAUUCAUAGCAAUAAAGCCAACAGUAGUUAUAUCAAAAAUGGCACCUCCACAAAUAGAGCCAACUGUUUCUCCAAUCGAAAUACCAACUUGUACUACGACACCAGUAAUCAUAUGGUAUUUUGGAUGCAACUGCUUGGUAGCAAGAGACACCAACGGAGCCGAACCAACGCUAAAUCCAAAUUGCAUUAUGGAAUAUAAAACAAAAUAGGGCUGUACGGGGAUUUUGUGAACAGCAUCCAAUACUAAAUGAACUAUUAAGGCCACUAUACCCAUCAUGAAUCCGUAGAGCAUGAUCUGCCUAUCUUCUAACCACUUGGAUAGAAAUGUGCUAAAAAAUACAAAAGGAGCAAUAACCAAAGAUGAAAGAGAAAGGAAGUUACCAGAUUGAAAAGGAUUGUAAUGAUAUAGUGCUUUAGCGUAAAUAGGUACACUGGUUUGAUAACCGGCAACAUUAAAGAUAGAAAUGAAAGCAGCCAUAGACAGAAAACACAACAUAAACUUUUGCUUGAAGGACAGUGGAGCCGUUUUUCCGGUGAAGGAUUCGGGUUUUCGAACAU